CAGUAGCCGCGGGAACACGUAGGUGGCAAGCGUUGUCCGGAAUUAUUGGGCGUAAAGCGCGCGCAGGCGGAUAGGUCAGUCUGUCUUAAAAGUUCGGGGCUUAACCCCGUGAUGAGAUGGAAACUGCCAAUCUAGAGUAUCGGAGAGGAAAGUGGAAUUCCUAGUGUAGCGGUGAAAUGCGUAGAUAUUAGGAAGAACACCAGUGGCGAAGGCGACUUUCUGGACGAAAACUGACGCUGAGGCGCGAAAGCCAGGGGAGCGAACGGGAUUAGAUACCCCUGUAGUCCCUGUCUCUUAUACA
rnacentral:rRNA from 1 species